UACGUAGGGGCGCAAGCGUUGUCCGGAAUUAUUGGGCGUAAAGAGCUCGUAGGCGGUUUGUCGCGUCUGCUGUGAAAACCUAAGGCUCAACCUUGGGCUUGCAGUGGGUACGGGCAGACUAGAGUGCGGGUAGGGGUGACUGGAAUUCCUGGGUGAUAGCGGUGGAAUGCGCAGAUAUCAGGAGGAACACCGAUGGCGAAGGCAGGU
rnacentral:rRNA from 1 species